GAAAAUCCGUUAAAUAAACUUAAGAUUCGCUAGGGGUUGGUUCAUAUCUCAAACAAACAGAUUAACAUGAAUAAUACUUACGGGCCUCAUGUCCCAGCGAAGAUCGUCGAGCUAGCAAAGUGUGCGAUUUCGAUAACGAGUGACGCGAAAUUUCAUUAGUGGUUUCCCGAAUCACUUUUUAAAUUUAUAAAUCUUACGUCGACUCGAGUAAAAGACUAUUAUUGCGGACAACCGAAAUCAAAUUACGCGUCAAUAUGGGAAGUGCACCGAAAGCUGCUUCAGCCGUCCUUCAAUUCCGUGGCUCUGAAAUCUUUCGUCAAAACAUUCGCCACACAGUCAGUGAUACUGGCCAAGAAGAUGGAGCAGCACUUGGACGGAUCGGAAUUUGAAAUACACAGAUACGUCUCGCUGUGUACAUUGGACGCAAUCUGUGUGACGGCUAUGGGCGUAAAUUUGAAAGCACAGGAGAGCGAGGAAUGUCGGUACGACGAAGCAUUACGGAACGUGUUAGCUAGUUUCGUUACACGAACCUUUAGUCCUUGGCUGUACCCCGACUUCGUGUUCUACCGUACGCA